UCCAGCUUUUAAUUUAUGUGUGCAGGGGGCAACAGGAAGUAAGGUAUCAUAUAGCUGAUUAUGCUGAAAAAUUUUAAUAAAAUAAACUAAAAGCUGGAAUUGCCUAUUGCACUUGGGUCCCUUGGAUUCAAUGAAUUGCCUAUUGCACUUGGGUCCCUUGGAUUCAAUGGUGCUGGCCAUAUUCUUACAUUCACUGUUUUAUCUUGUUCACGAAGAGUGAGGUAUUAUGUCUUAAUUUAAUUUUCCAAAUGAUGUUGGUAGUUUUUCUCACAAGCAUCACCGAUGCACUUGAAUGCUACAGCAUGGGCGAUUUCCUCCUCAUCACUUUCAUCUUCUCACUUAAACGUCA
rnacentral:lncRNA from 1 species